UCUUGCAUUACUGAGGGGAGCAGAGGUGCAGAAAAGAGAGACCAGAAUGUCUUCUGCAGGAGCAAAUAAAUGCCGGAAACAAUCCAUUGAGUCAUCCUCCUUUAUGCCCCAUCCUCACACCCGUCACAUCUGGACUCACUCAGGACUGUUGUGGAGAGAUGCAUGCAAUGUAUGCAACAUUCUGGCAGGACAGAGAAGCAGCUACAGCUGCAGCAAACGUCUCAUCUCACUGCGCUGCAGAACAGAGAGGUUCAGGAGAUCCUUUGUUCCCACUGCCAUCAGGCUAUACAACACCUCAGCCAAAGGAUGUUGACUUAUCUAAUUAUUAUUGUUUAUUUAUUAUUAACUGUUUUAAUUAUUAUUAAUAUUAUUAUUAGCAACAAUGAGCUAAUGGACACAUGAAUUUCCCCUAGGGGAUAAAUAAAGUAUCUAUCUAGUCUAUUUACUCUUUCAUACUUAGAGGAAAUACAUUUACAAUAUGUUUUCCCCCCAGCAUCACACCCAAUCCAGGCUUGGUCCUCUCUCAGUCUGGAGAAGAAUUCCUGUCUUUAUUAAAAUGUGAGAUUUGUUUGGCAAGCACUGUGUCAUAUGAAGGAUUACCCUGCCAGACAAAAGAGUGUGUUUAAACCUCCCUGGGUCUAUACCAUAGCUCUCCUCUAAACCACCAUGCUCCAGCUCCCAUAC